rnacentral:tRNA from 1 species
AUGGAGGAUGUCACCACAUGGAGGAUGUCACCCUAUGGAGGAGGUCACCCUAUGGAGGAUGUCACCUGGAAGUUGAUGUCACCGUAUGGAGGUGGAUGUCACCCUAUGGAGGAUGUCACCUGGAGGUGGAUGUCACCCUAAGGAGGAUGUCACCCUAUGGAGAUGUUACCUGGAAGCGGAUGUCACCUGGUGGCAGAUGUCACCCCAUGGAGGAUGUCAGUCACCAUCUCGAUGUCACCUGGAGGCAGAUGUCACCCUGCGAUGGAUGUCACCCCAUGGACGAUGUCACCCCAUGGUGGAUGUCACCCCAUGGAGGAUGUCAGUUGCUGGCUCGAUGUCACCUGGAGGAGAAUGUCACCCCAUGGCUCACUGGAUGUCACCCUGUUGGAUGCCACCCGACUGGUUGUCACCCCAUGGCUCAAUGGAUGUCACCCCAUUGGAUGUCACCCCAUGGCUCAAUGGAUGUCACCCCAUUUGAUGUCACCCAUUCGGAUGUCACCCCAAUGGGUGUCACCCCAUUAGAUGUCACCCCACUGGAUGUCACCCCAUUUGAUGUCACCCCAUGGCUCAAUGGAUGUCACCCCACUGGAUGUCACCCCAUUGGAUGUCACCCCAUUCGAUGUCACCCCACUGGAUGUCACCCCAUUGGAUGUCACCCCAUGUCUCAUUGGAUGUCACCCCAUUCGAUGUCACCCCAUUGGACGUCACCCCACGGCUCAAUGGAUGUCACCCGAUUGGAUGUCACCCCAUUGGAUGUCACCCUAAUGGGUGUCACCCCAAUGAAUGUCACCCAUUCGGAUGUCACCCCAAUGGGUGUCACCCCAUUGGAUGUCACCUGCUGUGACCUCAGGGCACGCGUGGCCUUUGCUUUGUACCCGCCUGGGAUUAAUUACCCUUUGGAAAAGUGAUUAAAAAUGCUAAUUUACAUCUCUGCGAACCCCGAGUGGCGUUUUGGGGUCCCCAAACCCCAUUCCUAGACAGAACCGCCGAGUGGAUCCAUAACGCGCAUGCUGAUUGGCUACUUGCAGAGCACGCCUUCGCUCUCGGCCAAUCCCUGCGCGCCUUUCAGAACCGCGGGGGCGGGCCUACCCGUCUGGCCCCGCCCCUCUCGGGGGCGUGUAGCCAAUCAGGGCGGCCGUAGCAUUUUGACGUCUCAGCUCCGCCAAUGGCGUUGUGAGAAACAUAACGAGCAAGGCUUCCGUCCCUCCCUGGUGGUCUAGUGGUUAGGAUUCGGCGCUCUCACCGCCGCGGCCCGGGUUCGAUUCCCGGUCAGGGAAGAUUUGUUUUCUCUCUUUUCUCCCCAUUUUGACCCAUUUCUUCCUAUUUUUUUUUAUCCUUUGGGCCAUUUUCUUCCUCCUUUUUACCCUUUCCUCCUCUUUUUCUCCCUCUUUUCUCCCCAUUUUGACCCUUCCCCAUUUCCCCCUUUGUUUCCUCCUUUUCAGUUUUCCUCCUCCUUUCCAUUUCCCCCCCUUUUUCCUCCUCCUUUUGCAUUUUUUUCCUUUUUUUCUCCUAUUUUUUUCAGUUUUCCUCCUAUUUUUCCCCUUUUUCCCUCCUCAUUUCGCUCUUUUCCUCCUUUUUCUGUAUUCUUUUCCCCCUUUUCCUCCUAUUUUGCCCCAUUUCCCCCAUUUUUUCCUCCCCCUUUUUCCUCCCUGCCCUUCCCCAUUUUGCCCAUUUCUCCAUGUUUCCUCCUCAUUUUCACUUCAUUUCUUCUCUCUUUGAAACUUUUUCCUCUCUUAUCCCCCUUUUCACUCCUCCUCCCCCUCUUCCUCUUUUCCUUUUGACAUUUCUCUCCCAUUUCUCCCCUUCAUUUUGAUUUCCUCCCCCCUUUUUCCUCUCUCCUUUUUCCUCUCCUUUUUCCUCCCCCUUUUCCUUUUUAUUUUUUCCCUCUUUUUCCUCCUCCUUUUUCCU